AAUACGGUCGAGAGGCGAAAGAUUUAUCGCCGAGGGAUUGGCCCGCGUCCGAUUAGCUAGUUGGUGAGGUAAUGGCCCACCAAGGCGACGAUCGGUAGCUGGUCUGAGAGGAUGAUCAGCCACAUUGGGACUGAGACACGGCCCAAACUCCUACGGGAGGCAGCAGUGGGGAAUAUUGGACAAUGGGCGCAAGCCUGAUCCAGCCAUGCCGCGUGAGUGAUGACGGCCUUAGGGUUGUAAAGCUCUUUCGUCAGGGACGAUAAUGACGGUACCUGAAGAAGAAGCCCCGGCUAACUUCGUGCCAGCAGCCGCGGUAAUACGAAGGGGGCUAGCGUUGUUCGGAAUUACUGGGCGUAAAGCGCGUGUAGGCGGGUCUUUAAGUCAGGGGUGAAAUGCCAGGGCUCAACCUUGGAACUGCCUUUGAUACUGGAGAUCUUGAGUCCGGGAGAGGUGAGUGGAACUGCGAGUGUAGAGGUGAAAUUCGUAGAUAUUCGCAAGAACACCAGUGGCGAAGGCGGCUCACUGGCCCGGUACUGACGCUGAGAUGCGAAAGCGUGGGGAGCAA
rnacentral:rRNA from 1 species